rnacentral:rRNA from 1 species
UGGGGAAUCUUAGACAAUGGGGGAAACCCUGAUCUAGCCAUGCCGCGUGAGCGAUGAAGGCAUUAGGGUUGUAAAGCUCUUUCAGCUGGGAAGAUAAUGACGGUACCAGCAGAAGAAGCCCCGGCUAACUCCGUGCCAGCAGCCGCGGUAAUACGGAGGGGGCUAGCGUUGUUCGGAAUUACUGGGCGUAAAGCGCACGUAGGCGGAUUAGUCAGUCAGAGGUGAAAUCCCAGGGCUCAACCCUGGAACUGCCUUUGAUACUGCUAGUCUUGAGGUCGAGAGAGGUGAGUGGAAUUCCCGAGUGUAGAGGUGAAAUUCGUAGAUAUUCGGAGGAACACCAGUGGCGAAGGCGGCUCACUGGCUCGAUACUGACGCUGAGGUGCGAAAGCGUGGGGGAGCAAAACAGGAUUAGAUACCCUGGUAGUCCACGCCGUAAACGAUGAAUGCCAGUCGUCGGGUUGCAUGCAAUUCGGUGACACACCCUAACGGAUUAAAGCAUUCCGCCUGGGGAGUACGGUCGCAAGAUUAAAACUUAAAGGAAUUGAC